GAGGAAUUAUGGUAAUCUGUUCAUUGCUUACCCAAUGAAUUCUGAGUUCCAGUAUUUCCAGCAAGAAGAGAAUCAUGUGUCUUCUGUGGGCUCUGCUGUUUCUUCUGGUUUCUGCACAGUGUCAAACCCGGUUUGAAAAGUUCUCACUGGAGCUGAAGCCACCAAAUGAGAGAGAAUUAUUUGUCAAUGAUAAAGUUGUCUUGGAAGCUGUUGUUACUGGAGAUAAAUGGCAGUCAGCGGAAAAAGCUUCAGUGGCAUGCAAAGUAAAGAAUGAAUCUGUCUCAGGAAAUAUACACUUUUCUCAGGACACUUCACAGUUUAUAGCAGUCCAAAAAGUCACUGUUGAUGCAAAUAAAUGGUUUGAUGGUGAACCGGUCACCUGCACCGUUCAUGACCCAAAUAACAACAGAGAGAUGAUGCAGGAGAUCAGUUUCGAUAAAGGAGAUGGACUGACACCCAGGGUUUUCAUUUACAAACCUAAUUCUCCUGGCACAGACAGAUUCUCUCUGGUGUGUGAGGUCACCAGCCGUAAACUUGGCAAUGUCUAUAUCAUGUGGAAAGUGGGCAAUGGGCCUUAUAGAAAGGGCUCAACCAGCGCUCCCAUCCAUCAACAGGACUCCACAUCUUUGCUCAGCAUACUAACAUUGUCAAAACAAGAGUAUGAAGAUCACAAAACCACCAUCACCUGUUCAGUCAUACAUGCCAACAUGCAUAAUAGAAGUGCUCUAUUACAAGUUUCAACAUCCAAAAGUAAAGAGCCAGAGGUUUCCUGUGAUUAAAGAACUGACCCAAACGAUCACUGUGUUUGUGUUGUUGACUUCUAUGUUCUCGUCAGUUCAUAUAUAUUCGGUGUUUGUGCACUUUUCUGUCUGUAUCUGUUUCACUGGACUGCAUCGUUCAGACAUCAGUACCAAAUUAAAGUCGCAAUAUUUUAUUACAUGCAAAUAAAUAUGUCCACACAAAACAUAUAAUCAGCAUAAAUAUCAUAAUGUGAAAAUUCAAAUGUUUUCAAGAGCAUGCCCUGUGCUUUCUGUUCUGCUGUUUACCCAGUCAUGCAAUGUAAUAUAUUCUAACAUUUAAAAUUUUUGUUUACUAAAAAAUAUGAUUUCAAAUCCAAUACAGUUGAUUUUGUUGUUUUACAAUAUUAAGCAAUAAAUAUUUGUCUUUGCAUGAUUCA